AUGUGCCCGAAUAGCUACUGGCAAUAUUUUGCUUGGUAUCAUGCUUUUUUCCCUGAUGGACAAAAGUACUAUACUGUGGGCCUGGCUGCUGCUUGCUGGGCCAUUUGGCUAGCUCGGAAUCGAGCUACAUUCGAAAAGAAGCUAAUCAAAACGCCCUUUGAGAUAGUUUUCUCCAUGUGUUCUUUUCUGUUGUAUUGGGCAGGGCUGCAGCAGGAGGAAGGCUCCAAGGAGCUGUGAAGCGGUCCUGAGAUGAUCAGGUCGAGCACGAUGCGCUUGAUGGGGAUGUGCAACACUGCGAGAGUGCCGAUCGGGGGAGAAUAA
rnacentral:rRNA from 1 species